rnacentral:tRNA from 7 species
GACAUUGUGCCAGAGUGGUUAAUGGGUUAGACUUGAAAUCUAAUGGCUUCGGCCUCGCAAGUUCGAAUCUUGUCAAUGUCG